CCUACGGGGGGCAGCAGUGAGGAAUAUUGGUCAAUGGGCGCUAGCCUGAACCAGCCAAGUAGCGUGAAGGAUGACUGCCCAAUGGGUCGUAAACUUCUUUUAUAUGGGAAUAAAGUGCAGUAUGUAUACUGCUUUGCAUGUACCUGAUGAAUAAGGAUCGGCUAACUCCGUGCCAGCAGCCGCGGUAAUACGGAGGAUCCGAGCGGUAUCCGGAUUUAUUGGGUUUAAAGGGUGCGUAGGCGGGUUGUUAAGUCAGUGGUGAAAGUUUGGGGCGCAACCGUAAAAUUGCAGUUGAUACUGGCAUCCUCGAGUACAGUAGAGGUAGGCAGAAUGCGUGGUGUAGCGGUGAAAUGCUUAGAUAUCACGAAGAACUCCGAUUGCGAAGGCAGCCUGCUGGACUGUAACUGACGCUGAUGCUCGAAAGUGUGGGUAUCAAACAGGAUUAGAUACCCGGGUAGUC
rnacentral:rRNA from 1 species